AGAAUCAUGCAGCGGCCUGCUGAACUCUCUGUGUUCCGGAGCAAAGAAGUAAGGAGAAAGGGAGCUUGCCUUCAGAAACAAAAGUCUCUGACCAAUCUUUCCCUCACCAGUGAUGGGGAGAGGAGACCCACGGUGCGCAUUUCCAACUGGUUUGGAAAUGCUGCCAAGGCCAGCCAGAGAGAAGCCAACUAUGCAGAGCGGCGCUCACUGUCCAAGUUUCUCUCGCGGUCUGUGCAGUCCCUGUAUCACACCAGCAGCUCAGCCUGGAACCUCCU
rnacentral:lncRNA from 1 species